CUUCCUUUUUUGGCGGUUUUACCUCGUAGUAACUUUCCAGAAAAACGAAAGGGUUAUGAUGAGAGAUUGUCAGUAAAUAUGAUAUUGUUUAUUUGACAAGAUUGGCUGUGAAGCAUUCUCAUUUAAAUCACUGAUUUAGCUGUGGUAUCGUUGUAUCCGAAUUCGAAUCCGAUAUAAAUACUCGUGACAAGCAUGGUUCGGUAGCAGCGAAUGCUAUGCUAUCUCGUCCAUAAACGUUGCAUAUACUAUUCAGAAAUCAGCAUCGUUUAAGACGGUUUGUAGGUAGGGUAAAGUUUGCAGCGAAGGCUUUGCCGAUUAUUUUACUGUGAGGUUAACAUUACCAAAGUACAUUGUUAAGUUGGAUGUUAAGGUGUCAGCUGGCAUGGUAAGAGGCAUGAAAUCGCGGCCACUCUGCUUCGUUGUGGUGACACACGCAUCGGAUUAAACUGCAUGUAAACGUCUAAACUAAUAACUAGUAUGUUUACAUGCAUGGCAUAUCAGAGAAUUCUGUCAUUUCGGUCGCGGGGCAACGAAUGAAUAAAGAUCGUUAGCACUCUGAAAAACAGAUGACAGAUGUGCCCGAAGUUACUACUUUAUUACCUCCUUGGGUGAAAUCGAAGCGUAGUGUGUACUGAAUGCGUGUUGAUGAUGAUGCAUAUGAAUUGCAACUUACACGUCUUCCAAACCUUUUCAGUACCCUGGCACAUGCUUUGUCCAAUGGACCAUGGAAGGGACUUUACUUGGCUGACGAGGACGCACCUCACCAGUAUCAGAGCAACAGCUGUGGGGUGUUUAUGCUGAUGGUGAGAUGCAUUAUUUUCAGAAAUGAUGACUGAUGACUAGUUUGCAAAACAACUAACUCAUUUGUAUGUUAAUUUCAGUACGCAAUGUAUUCUACCCUCAAAAGCAAUAUGAUUUCAGUGAGGGGGACAUGCUCUCUAUCAGGAGGUGGUGGUGUGGACAGCUGUUGGAGACCUUUAUGCUUGAAAGCCCUGCAGAACUAGCUGGCUCCUUCUCACCCUCUCCAUCUCCCCAUCUCAGUCACACCUUCCAAUCACUAAGCAGUGAUAGCCCUGCAGGACUAGCUGGCACACCAAGCUCACCCUCUCCAUCUCCCCAUCUCAGUCACACGCUCCAAUCUGGCACAACAGAGGACAGGCCAUUCUUACCACCCGAAGUCCUUCAGCAAUUUGUACAAGAGACGCUGAGACUGGACAUGGCGAUGCGUGGCGUGUUCAACAGGGUUUCAAACACAUUCCGAGAACUAAUCAAGCCUCUCCAUCCUUCCAUAUAUAUAAAUGACAGUUUGGCAGGGGACAUUAAGCUUAAUAAAGACAAUCUCAUAUACAUAACGGUUAGAAAGAUUUACAACAAUGCAGGCUGUGGCAGUGGCCUUGCGCUACGCCUCAAAGGCUUCUCAAAAAAGAAUUGGCCAAGCGCACCUCUGGUACUGAGGCACGUUGCAUAUGGCAGGUUUGUCAUAAAAGAUGUCUGCCUAGCAUAAUGUUCUUCUAUUACUCCUUUUUCGUUUUAUUUGGGACGUCAUUUUUUGCAAUCCCUUUCAUUUGUAAAUGUACAUACUACUGUAGUAAAUGUAUCUGCCCAGAAAUGCUGGUAUUUUAUUACUCCUUUCUUUUUUGUUUUUGUGACGAAUGCUAUACGAUGUAUAACAUGCAUUUGUGCCUACGAUGUAUGUUGUAAGGUUAAUUGUUACAGAGCAAUUACUGUAUUUUGUCUUUAUUGAAAACAUUCAGUGGGAAAAGUAAGUGAACACUUGGAGUCAAAUGGUCUACUGUUUGAGCCUUCAUAGUGUCUGGUGGUAACUGGAUUUGAACUGCAUAAUGUCCCAAGUGUUAUUUUAAUCUAUUCAUUAUUUAAUUUGGGCAUAUUCUUAAACAACUAUAUCAAACAUCUCACUUAUAUCUAAUACCCUACCUAUACUAACCCAGAAGAUAAUGAACAUGAGAUCAUGGAGCCUCCCUGUAAUGAUCGUGUUGCAUCAAGUUUGAUGCAAAGUUUGGGCCGAGAUCCGACGCAUAAAUGUAAGCUAACAUUCUGUAGGCCUAGCUGGCUAACGUACCCGUAUAACAAGAUCGAAGAAGAAGGGGGCGCUAACGUCAGUUUUAUGCUGCCCAUACUACUAGAUCGACGAAGAAGAACUGGGCGUUCCAGCCUGCGUAAACGAGAACGCCGGGGGGGCGUUUUAGUCUGCGUGAACGAGAACGCCCACGACACGGGAACGCCCAUUUGUGUCUG